rnacentral:rRNA from 1 species
AUUGAACGCUGGCGGCAGGCUUAACUCAUGCAAGUCGAACGAGUGGCGGACGGGUGAGUAAUGUAUGGGGAUCUGCCUGAUGGCGGGGGAUAACUACUGGACACGGUAGCUAAUACCGCAUACCAUCAGAUGAACCCAUAUGGGAUUAGCUUGUAGGUGAGGUAACGGCUCACCUAGGCGACGAUCCCUAGCUGGUCGGAGAGGAUGAUCAGCCACACUGGGACUGAGACACGGCCCAGACUCCUACGGGAGGCAGGAGUGGGGAAAAUUGGACAAUGGGCUAAAGCCUGAUGCAGCCAUGCCGCGUGUAUGAAGAAGGCCUUCGGGUUGUAAAGUACUUUCAGUCGGGAGGCGUUACCGACAGAAGAAGCACCGGCUAACUCCGUGCCAGCAGCCGCGGUAAUUC